AUCAGGAACUAGGCUUUUUCCAGUCUGUGCUUUAAUGGUUCAAUGUCUAGAGUUACACUGAGUUGGCUGGAUGGUGAUUAACACUGUUGUGGGUAUAGCUGGCCCUUCUGACUUCUCUAAUGGGCUUCCAGAUUAUGCCAUUUAUUAAUUAAAUUAGAUCAGCCUGAUGAUUUUAUCUCUAGAUUGUCUUUUAGUGGUGAGUACCAUCUCUGAUAGGAAAACUUGAAAGCUUUCAGAUUUUACUUGGCGAUAGUUGGCUGCAUUUCCCCUAGCUCCUUUGUCAUUAGGGCUAGGAACUGGAAUUCCUCAAUACCAGGGAGAGGAAGAGAAAUAAAGUUUAAGAAUCAAAGGUAAAUGACAUUUUGUAUUUUCAACUUCCCAGAAGAUUCACAACGCUUUUCAAGGAUUCCUCAUGCCUUGACCUCAGGUUGGAGCAUCCUUACUUUUACUCACCUGUUUGGUUUCUUCCUUAAAAUGAACUCCUAGAACUGGAAUUGCUGGGUCAAAGGCCAGUUGCAGCACUCUUGUCUCGCUUUGGAAUGAGCGUUGUCUUAUCCUGAACUAUGUUACUCCAAAGACAGGGAGAGAUGAAACAGGAGAGAAUCGUUAACUGGGAAAUGCAGAAGUGGAAAUAAGUAGCAAGCAGAAUGAGCAGAGACAACAAAGAUGGCUUGGAGACUUUGAUAAUGAGAGUGUCCUCUGGCAGGCACCCACUCUCCACGCUGAUGGACCAUCCCCAAAUUCCCAGAAGACUGUGGUAGACAGAGGAGUACUGCCGCCUCCUGCCCCCAUCCAUGUCUAAUCCCCAGAACCAGUGAACAUGAUAUUUUACAUGGCGAAGGGGACUUUGCAGAUGUCAUCAAAUUAAGGAUCCUCAGAUGGGAAAGUUUAUCCUGGAUAAUCUUAGAGGGCCCAGUGCAAUCACAAGGAUCUUUUUUAAGUCAAAGAGGAAGACAGGAGAGUCAGAAGCCAAGAAGCAGAGAUCAGAGUGAUGCGGUUGCUGGCCGGGGGCCACAGGCCAAGGCUUGCGGAUGCCUCUGGAAGCUGGAAAGGGCAAGGACACAUUCUCCCUUUGAGCUUCUAGAAGGAACACAGCUCAACCAACAACUUGGUGUGAACCCUCUAACACUGUUUCCCACUUCUGAUCUCCUGAACUGUAAGACAAUACAUUUGUAUUGUGUCAAGCCAAUAAGUUUGUGGCUUGAACAAAUUUAGAACAGCUCAGGGGAACCUGCCGAAGGACCUCCCACCUAAACUUCUCCCUAUAGUCCGCAAGGAGGAAGUGCAUGGUGAGAGAUGCCAGUCACAAUUGGCUCGUGAAGAUCCAAGGAUGACGUUUUCUCUAUUUUGGGAGCCUGGUUCUGCCUUACGUGGUUAGCUUUUCUUCUUAUUUUCUCUUUCGUUUUUAAUAAAAGACAUUAGAAAAAAAAACACAGAAGAUAAGAGAGAGUAUAGGUACAUAAACAUGUUACUUUGUAGGAGAAAUCUGUCAGCACUUUUUAACACAUUAAAAAAAAUAUUGAAAUAUAGUCGCUUUACAAUGUUGUGUUUUAGGUAUACAGCAAAGUGACUUGUUUAUAUGUAUAUAUAUUCUCUUUUUUACAUUCUCUUCCAUUGUAGGUUGUUACACGACAUUGUGUAUAGUUCCCUGUGCUGUACAAUAGGUUCCUGUUGCUUAUAUACUUUAUAUGUAGUGGUGUGUAUCUGUUAACCCUGAACUCCUAAUUUACGUGCUUCCAUUCCUUUUGGUAACCAUAAGUUUGUUUUCUGUGUCUGAGUCUAUUUCUGUUUCAUAAAUAAUUUCAUUUGUAUCAUUGUUCUAGAUGCCACAUACAAGCGAUAACGUGUGGUAUUUGUCUCUGGCUUACUUCACUUAGUAUGACAACCU